GAUCACCAUAUUUGGGAUUUGAAAAAAUUUUCUCUCAGGUCAGAUUGGCAGAGACCCUGGGGUUUUUCAUCUUUCUUUGCAGCAUGAGGCACGGAUCAACUGCGGGAGGAUUCUCUGCAGCU